rfam:Arcticibacter svalbardensis MN12-7 contig00025, whole genome shotgun sequence.
GUCCGGGUGGCGAAAUUGGUAGACGCACCACCUUGAGGGGGUGGCGCCUGUACGGGUGUGUGAGUUCGAAUCUCAUCUCGGAUA